UGGGGAAUAUUGGACAAUGGGCGCAAGCCUGAUCCAGCCAUGCCGCGUGAGUGAUGAAGGCCUUAGGGUUGUAAAACUCUUUCACCGGUGAAGAUAAUGACGGUAGCCGGAGAAGAAGCCCCGGCUAACUCCGUGCCAGCAGCCGCGGUAAUACGGAGGGGGCUAGCGUUGUUCGGAAUUACUGGGCGUAAAGCGCGCGUAGGCGGGCUAUUAAGUCAGGGGUGAAAUCCCGAGGCUCAACCUCGGAAUUGCCUUUGAUACUGGUAGUCUCGAGUCCGUGAGAGGUGAGUGGAACUCCGAGUGUAGAGGUGAAAUUCGUAGAUAUUCGGAAGAACACCAGUGGCGAAGGCGGCUCACUGGCACGGUACUGACGCUGAGGUGCGAAAGCGUGGGGAGCAAACAGGAUUAGAUACCCCUGUAGUCC
rnacentral:rRNA from 1 species